AAACAAGAUUUAUCAUGAGAAGUCAGCAGAAGCCAUACUACCUUGAGCCUUCGACGGCUCGAGGGAAGGGC
rnacentral:ncRNA from 1 species